UACGGAGGGUGCGAGCGUUGUCCGGAAUCAUUGGGCGUAAAGGGCGCGUAGGUGGCCCGGUGAGUCUUUGGUGAAAGACCGGGGCUCAACCCCGUGUCAGCCAGGGAUACUGGGUGGCUGGAGACAGGUAGAGGCAAGCGGAAUUCCGGGUGUAGCGGUGGAAUGCGUAGAGAUCCGGAAGAACACCGGAGGCGAAGGCGGCUUGCUGGACCUGGUCUGACGCUGAGGCGCGAAAGCGUGGGGAGCGAACAGG
rnacentral:rRNA from 1 species